rnacentral:rRNA from 1 species
UACGGAAGGUGCAAGCGUUGCUCGGAAUCACUGGGCGUAAAGGGUGCGUAGGCGGCCGUGCAAGUCUGGCGUGAAAGCCCCGGGCUCAGCCCGGGAAGUGCGCUCGAAACUGCGCGGCUCGAGUGCCGGAGGGGAGAGUGGAAUUCCUGGUGUAGCGGUGAAAUGCGUAGAUAUCAGGAAGAACACCCGUGGCGAAGGCGGCUUUCUGGGACGGUACUGACGCUGAGACGCGAAAGCGUGGGGAGCAAACAGG